GUCCCUCCCUCCUUCCCCCGGCGCGGCGGCGCUGCUCGCCGAGGCUCCCUGGCCGCUAGCGGGGAGGAAACUUCCUCCCCGCGCUGAUGCUUUCCAUGAAACACCCCGGGCUGCCUCUGGCCCUGCUCUGGAAGGGAGAGCGCGACCCGGGGGUUGCCCAGCGCGCUUAGGUGAGGUGGGGGAAACGGCCCAUUGAAACCUACGCAGCCCACGAAGAAACCCCUCAGCCGCCGGGCGUGGAGCUGCGAAUGUGGCCCUUUGCCAGCCGUCCUCCAGGGAGUCGUCUUCCCCAGUCGCUGAGACUUGAGAGAGCGGCUCUGCGCUGAUUCAGAAGACAAGAACAUAGGAAUUGCCAUACUGUAUCAUAUCUGUGGUUCAUCUAGUCCAGUAUUCUGUCUGCAACAGUGCCCGUCACUAGAUGCCUCUGAAGAACGUGCAAGAACUCCACAGAAGGCAGAUGUGGGGUAAUUUUCCCCUCAUGAAGGUCUCAGCCUAAUUCGUAAGAUUUGGAGAUUGGUUUAAACUCUGAAGCAUUUUUAUCUCUUCCAAAUUUCUGUUUACCAUAACUGUUACAAUGCUGGAUAUUCUUGUUAUCCACAUAUAUGUCCAAUCCCUCUUUGAACCCUCCACAGAUCAGCUAUGGCAGCAUGGUAUGGUGAAGAAAGAGAUUUUAGGUAGAUAGCUCAAGCAACUUAGGGCUUCAUAUGUCAUAACCAACAACUUGAACUCCAUGCAAAAAACUACAAGCAACACAUGCAGAUUUCAGAGCACUGAUGUCACAUGCACAUGGCUUAAUCAGGUUGCUGCCUUCCAUACUAGCUUAAUUUUCCAAGAUGAUGAAAGGCAUAUAGAGCAUAUUGCCAUUGUCACUUCAAGAUCUGCCAAAGUCAUGUUCAGACUGCUUCCAUGUAUUAAGAAAGAUGUUCACUUGAGCCCUGUUGAUCAGAUGAAAUGGGCAGCAGUGAGGGUCAUUAGCACAUGAAAACAAUUUGACCAGUUCCUCUUAACUGAUCCUCCCAAAGACACAACACAACACCGAUGAUGUGGAACCCCACAUAAGAACACCCUGCUGACAGAAAAGCAGUUACCCAGACCUACUCUCUGGAAUCUCUUCAGGAGAAAAGAAUGAAGCUUGUUCCACAAGCAAAUCACCAACACUUCACAAACAACAGUAUUGAAAUAAACUUUUAGAUCUAAUAAUAACGUUAAACCACUUAAAACAAGGCCUAACAGAGUCUGCCCAAAAACUAGCACCAUCUGAAUGGGGAGUUCCAGUGGGUAUUGUGACAAGGGUGGAGGGGGUGGGGUAUGUGUGUGUGAGAGAGAGAGAGAGAACACACAAACAAACUGAGAACAGAGCAAAAGGGAGAGGCAAGUAGUCUCAUUCUGACCCUGUGAAAAGCUAGAGAGCUUUUGGUUAAAGAGGCUUGGGACUGUAAGCAGGGAAACUGCUCCUUUUAUUCUUGGAUCCUCUUGCGUUCAGAGAAGCAGAACUUUGUACAUUCCUUGUAAAUAAGCAAGAUUGCAUCAAAGAAAAUACCAGACUCCAUCAUCAAUUUCUACUCCCAACUGGAACAUUCCGAGCACCUCAAAAUUUGACUAGCUGCUCAGGUCAAAAGGGGGCAACAAUAAUAGUAGUAUCAGUAAUGACAAAUACAUUAUGGUAGCAUCCAAAGGCCCUAAUCCUGACUGGGGCACCAUUCUGUUGGGCACAGUAAAAAUGUAGAAAAGAAACAGUCCCCUCCGUGAAAGGUUUAAAAUCCAAUGACAAAAAGAGAUGAAAGGAAGAGAAUGGUGAUACAACAUACAAGCAAAUGAAUGAUGCUGCCUAGAAAGGAUAUUGAGAGGCUUUUCUCAUGAAAGGUGGCUAUGUAUUGCCCUUGAAGUGUGCCAAGGUGGGAGGAGGGCUUUCAUUCUUAUGUAGAAAUCUCUAUCACAUUGCCUGUCAGCUCAGAUUUAUUGAAGAUUGGAUGAGUGGAGAUUCUUUGUAUACACCAGUGGAUCUAGAGAGGGAAAUGUGUCAUUCUAACUUUAUAUUGCAGAUUACAUUUGCAUCCUCAUAUUUUAAUAAAGAUAAAAUUAAAUCCAU